AACUCUCUUCCAGUUUCCGUCUGUAUCCUUGAGUUCUAAGGAGACCUUGAGUUCUAAGGAGACAGGAACCACAGUCUGGUUGAUGAAAUAGGACUGCGCAAUCAGAGCGUGAUUAAUGGUCACAGGCCUAUGAUAUAGGCCUUGUGGCUGUAGAUGAUCGUUCUCGGCUUGGCUUUGGCCUGCUGUGAUGAUUGUGCAGUUGUCUGACAGACU